rnacentral:rRNA from 1 species
AUUGAACGCUGGCGGCAGGCCUAACACAUGCAAGUCGAGCGGAUGACGGGAGCUUGCUCCUUGAUUCAGCGGCGGACGGGUGAGUAAUGCCUAGGAAUCUGCCUGGUAGUGGGGGACAACGUUUCGAAAGGAACGCUAAUACCGCAUACGUCCUACGGGAGAAAGCAGGGGACCUUCGGGCCUUGCGCUAUCAGAUGAGCCUAGGUCGGAUUAGCUAGUAGGUGAGGUAAUGGCUCACCUAGGCGACGAUCCGUAACUGGUCUGAGAGGAUGAUCAGUCACACUGGAACUGAGACACGGUCCAGACUCCUACGGGAGGCAGCAGUGGGGAAUAUUGGGCAAUGGGCGAAAGCCUGAUCCAGCCAUGCCGCGUGUGUGAAGAAGGUCUUCGGAUUGUAAAGCACUUUAAGUUGGGAGGAAGGGCAGUAAGUUAAUACCUUGCUGUUUUGACGUUACCGACAGAAUAAGCACCGGCUAACUCUGUGCCAGCAGCCGCCGCCGUAA